UGCACUGCUCAGUGACCUU
rnacentral:piRNA from 1 species